UACGGAGGGGGCAAGCGUUGUUCGGAAUUACUGGGCGUAAAGGGCUCGUAGGCGGCCAACUAAGUCAGACGUGAAAUCCCUCGGCUUAACCGGGGAACUGCGUCUGAUACUGGAUGGCUUGAGUUUGGGAGAGGGAUGCGGAAUUCCAGGUGUAGCGGUGAAAUGCGUAGAUAUCUGGAGGAACACCGGUGGCGAAGGCGGCAUCCUGGACCAACACUGACGCUGAGUGAGCGAAAGCCAGGGGAG
rnacentral:rRNA from 1 species